UGCGCAGGCGGCUUAUUAAGUCAGGGGUGAAAUAUGACGGCUCAACCGUCAAACUGCCCCUGAAACUGAUGAGCUUGAGUUCGAGAGAGGUAGGUGGAAUUCCAGGUGUAGCGGUGAAAUGCGUAAAUAUCUGGAGGAACACCGGUGGCGAAGGCGGCCUACUGGCUCGAUACUGACGCUCAGGCACGAAAGCAUGGGGAGCGAACAGGAUUAGAUACCCUGGUAGUCC
rnacentral:rRNA from 1 species